CAGUAGCCGCGGGAAUACGAGGGGGGCAAGCGUUAAUCGGAAUUACUGGGCGUAAAGCGUGCGCAGGCGGUUAUAUAAGACAGAUGUGAAAUCCCCGGGCUCAACCUGGGACCUGCAUUUGUGACUGUAUAGCUAGAGUACGGUAGAGGGGGAUGGAAUUCCGCGUGUAGCAGUGAAAUGCGUAGAUAUGCGGAGGAACACCGAUUGCGAAGGCAAUCCCCUGGACCUGUACUGACGCUCAUGCACGAAAGCGUGGGGAGCAAACAGGAUUAGAGACCCCUGUAGUCCCUGUCUCUUAUAC
rnacentral:rRNA from 1 species